rnacentral:snRNA from 1 species
GUGCUUGCUUCAGCAGAUCACUAAAAUUGGACCAAUACAGAGAAGAUAAGCAAUGCCCCUUCCCAAGGAUGGCACCUAAAUUUGUUAAGCAUUCUAUAUUUAA